rnacentral:rRNA from 1 species
GGAAGGCAGCAGGCGCGCAACUUACCCUAAUCUCGAUUCGAGGAGGUAGUGACAAGAAAUACCGAUGCGGGACCCUACGGGUGCCGCGUUCGGAAUGAGUACGAUUCGAACCACCUAACGAGGAACGAUCGGAGGGCAAGUCUGGUGCCAGCAGCCGCGGUAAUUCCAGCUCCAAUAGCGUACGUUAAAGUUGCUGCAGUUAAAAAGCUCGUAGUUGAACGUUCGGGUUCCGCGGGACGGGGCCGCCCCGCGAGGGACGGCGCCGCCCCGGGGCUCGUGAUAUCUCAUCUCGCCGCCCGUCGCGAGGCGGACGGAGGGAUGGAUGAGGUUACCUGGAAAAAAUCGGGGCGAUCUAGGCGGGCGAACCUCGCCAACGAACGAUCGGACAUGGGAUAACGGAAGAGGGCGUCGGCUCGACUUCGUCGGUUCCUCGGGCCGAGGCACGUACGGUGAAUAGG